CCUACGGGGGGCUGCAGUGGGGAAUAUUGGGCAAUGGGCGCAAGCCUGACCCAGCAACGCCGCGUGAGGGAAGAAGGUCUUCGGAUUGUAAACCUCUGUCCUUGGGGACGAAAAAAAUGACGGUACCCAAGGAGGAAGCUCCGGCUAACUACGUGCCAGCAGCCGCGGUAAUACGUAGGGAGCGAGCGUUGUCCGGAAUUACUGGGCGUAAAGGGUGCGUAGGCGGCAUGGCAAGUCAGAUGUGAAAUCCCCGGGCUUAACUCGGGAGUUGCAUUUGAAACUGCUGUGCUUGAGUGCAGGAGAGGAAAGCGGAAUUCCUAGUGUAGCGGUGAAAUGCGUAGAUAUUAGGAGGAACACCAGUGGCGAAGGCGGCUUUCUGGACUGUAACUGACGCUGAGGCACGAAAGCGUGGGGAGCAAACAGGAUUAGAUACCCUUGUAGUC
rnacentral:rRNA from 2 species